UCCUACGGGGCGCAGCAGUGAGGAAUAUUGGUCAAUGGUCGGGAGACUGAACCAGCCAAGCCGCGUGAGGGAUGAAGGUACAGAGUAUCGUAAACCUCUUUUGUCAGGGAACAAAGGCGGGGACGCGUCCCCGGAUGAGUGUACCUGAAGAAAAAGCAUCGGCUAACUCCGUGCCAGCAGCCGCGGUAAUACGGAGGAUGCGAGCGUUAUCCGGAUUUAUUGGGUUUAAAGGGUGCGCAGGCGGUCUGUUAAGUCAGCGGUCAAAGCCCGGGGCUCAACCCCGGCCCGCCGUUUAAACUGGCAGG
rnacentral:rRNA from 1 species